rnacentral:lncRNA from 1 species
UCAAAACAACACACAAACAGAGAGAGCUUUUGGAAGAGUACUUAUCUAGCACAGCAAGGCCCUGGCUUAAUCCCAGUCCCAUAUCCACAACUUUGGAAGACUCAAUGCCUGGCACUUCCUGACCACAAGGCUGACCACGAAGGCUGACCACAAGGCUUCGAGCAUGCAGAAGGGAAUGGUAAGGGGCACCUGGUGUGGCUGCUUAAACUUAGAAAACAGUAAGGAGUUCGAUGCUCACUGAACUUACUGCUUUUGCUUCAAAGAAAAAUACUUUAAUAAAGUUGAUUACUUCUCUCA